rnacentral:rRNA from 1 species
AUACGUAGGGGGCGAGCGUUGUCCGGAAUUACUGGGCGUAAAGGGUGCGUAGGCGGCCGAUUAAGUCAGAUGUGAAAUACCACGGCUCAACCGUGGGGGUGCAUAUGAAACUGGUUGGCUUGAGUGCAGGAGAGGAAAGUGGAAUUCCUAGUGUAGCGGUGAAAUGCGUAGAGAUUAGGAGGAACACCAGUGGCGAAGGCGACUUUCUGGACUGUAACUGACGCUGAGGCACGAAAGCGUGGGGAGCAAACAGGAUUAGAUACCCUGGUAGUCCACGCCGUAAACGAUGGAUACUAGGUGUAGGGGGUAUCGACCCCCCCUGUGCCGGAGUUAACGCAAUAAGUAUCCCGCCUGGGGAGUACGGCCGCAAGGUUGAA